UAAGACAGGUGAUCGCAGCUGCAGGGGCCGAAAGGCCGCAGAUGAGGAAAGUCCGGGCUUCACAGGGCAGGAUGCCGGAUAACGUCCGGUGGAGGCGACUCCAAGGAAAGUGCAACAGAAAUGUACCGCCUCCCCCAUGGGAGGUAAGGGUGGAAGGGCAGUGUAAGAGACUACCGCCCCGCUGGUAACAGCGGGGGCACAUGUAAACCCCAUCCGAAGCAAGGCCGAGAGAAGACGAUGUGGCGGCCCGUCACGUCUUAGGUAGGCUGCUGGAGCCUGCCGGUAACGGCAGGCCUAGAUAGAUGAUCACCCAACGACAUAACCCGGCUUAUCGUCUUGCUCG
rnacentral:RNase_P_RNA from 1 species